UUUGAAACUCAUGUUGAAACUCACUCUCCAGUGAAACAGUAUCAGGAGGUGGGGCCUUUCAGAGGUGACUGAGUCAUGAGGGCUCUGCCCUCAUGAUUGGAUUGACUAGUCCAUUCCUGGGUUAAUGGAUAAUAGGUUAUCAUUGUGUGAGUGGGUUAGUUAUCACAAGAGUGUGUCUGUUAUAAAAAGCCAGGUUGGUUCUCUCUCAUGAGCCCCCUCACCAUGUGAUGUCCCAAGCUGCCUUGGGACUCUGCAGAGGGUCCCCAUAAGAGGAAGGCCCCGACUAGAUGGAAUCCUUUGUCCCUGGACUUCUCAGCCUCCAGAACUGAUUCCCCAGGAUCAACCAUCUGAGCAGAUACCUUGGAAUGUCCCCAGAUUUCAGAGCCUCGGACCAGCAGCAACACACUCUGAAGUAGGUCUCAGAAGACAAAAAGCUGAAAUCAACUCAUGCUUCCUGCUACACAGAAUCCACUGAGAGGAAAAGGAAACUUCACCGAAACUUCAGAAAGCUACAGAAAUGACAUCCAUUUUCACAAUCCCAGAAGGAAAGAUGCAUCUGAAGGGAAUAAAAACAGAGCAAUGGAAGAGUAUUUGUUAAAAUAAAUGGCUUUGACAGGGCA
rnacentral:lncRNA from 1 species